rnacentral:misc_RNA from 1 species
UCUCCGUAGGUGAACCUGCGGAGGGAUCAUUACCGAGUGAGGGUUCCGGCCCGACCUCCAACCCUUUGUGAAUUCGACCCAGUUGCCUCGGGGGCGACCCUGCCGUCCGCGGCUGAGCGCCCCCGGGGUCAAUCAAACACUGCAUUCUCUGCGUCGGAGUAUUAGUAAAUCUAAUCAAAACUUUCAACAACGGAUCUCUUGGUUCUGGCAUCGAUGAAGAACGCAGC